ACGAACGCUGGCGGCGUGCUUAACCCAUGCAAGUCGAACGGAAAGGCCCUGCUUUUGUGGGGUGCUCGAGUGGCGAACGGGUGAGUAACACGUGAGUAACCUGCCCUUGACUUUGGGAUAACUUCAGGAAACUGGGGCUAAUACCGGAUAGGAGCUCCUGCUGCAUGGUGGGGGUUGGAAAGUUUCGGCGGUUGGGGAUGGACUCGCGGCUUAUCAGCUUGUUGGUGGGGUAGUGGCUUACCAAGGCUUUGACGGGUAGCCGGCCUGAGAGGGUGACCGGCCACAUUGGGACUGAGAUACGGCCCAGACUCCUACGGGAGGCAGCAGUGGGGAAUAUUGCACAAUGGGCGGAAGCCUGAUGCAGCAACGCCGCGUGCGGGAUGACGGCCUUCGGGUUGUAAACCGCUUUCGCCUGUGACGAAGCGUGAGUGACGGUAAUGGGUAAAGAAGCACCGGCUAACUACG
rnacentral:rRNA from 1 species